GAACGGCGAAGCUGGAUGAAGUAAUUGGAAAGGCCACGAAAGAUGAAGACUCUAGGUUACGGUGUGUCAAAGCUGAUAUGGCAUAUUAAAACAAUUUGAUUGGCUGGAAUUAAUUUGCAUACGUGGACACGCUAAGAGGGCUUAGUAUUCUACUUUUAGUAUAGUUUAGAUUAUUUGCAUCCUUGCGUUAACUUGUUUAACUUCUUACAGCCUCACGCUUGAUCAUCACUGUUGUCUUUGACUUUAACUUUGAUGUGCUGAAAGUCGUUUAAGGCUUUAGUUGGUUUCGCUUCAGUAAUCGUUGACUCAAUCUAAACUUGUUCUUUAGCAUUAUUUUAAGUAAAAUUGCUAGAGUUUUUGUAUCUUCUUUGCAAUAUUCUAAGAGCGUGUUUAACGCUGGAUCUUAGUUGGGCUCCUAAGCCCAAAAUACCAUUUUAAAAUUAAAAAAAAAAUGUGGUAAGAGCUGGGUUCCAGAAAACCCUACGGAGGAGGUGCCUCUUGUGACUGUCUUUUCGUCUCUCUCUCUCUCUCUCUCUCUCUCUCUCUCUCUCUCUCUCUCUCUCUCUCUCUCUCUCUCUCUCCUUUCUCACAGAGAAUCCGUUCUUCUCCGACCAAAUCCAGCCAAAAUCAGCCACGAGAGAGAUCUCUUCAUCUUCUUCGACUCGGUGGCCGUGUUUGCUGACCCGGCGAAGCAAAGCUCCCAUCAGACCACAUCGUCAAAGGUAUGAUCUCCCUCAAUUGUCUUCUGUUCUUCCUCUAUCCUCUUCUUGCUCUAUCGUCUUCCUAUAUUGUCAUCAAACCCUCGGAUUGAAACCUUAAUAAGAACUGAUUUGAUGAUUUAUUUUUCUCCAGGUGAGCCAAAUCGGUCAGGAAGAAGCUGAGAUAGGAGCUAUUCUGUUUUCGUGUAUCUCGGAGUUGAAGAACAAAAGGUAAACUGUGUUUUUUUCAUCGUUUAUAGGACAUGCAUGUGUGUUGAGUUGGUUAGAUUCAGGGUCGAACAUAAUGUGAUGUUUUGUGCGUUUUUGAGGUUCUCAAGUGUGAUCGCGUGAAUCAAAGAGGUAGCCACAACAAGAUUCAUCAUACAGAAGAAGAUUUAGGUUCUGAAGAGGGUUGUACUGAAUCACAGAGGGGGCCGCAGGAAGAGUCAUUCUACAGACAGAACAUCUGGGAACAGAAACCGAAAUGGAAGCAAGAAAACCAAUUUUUUGUGGCCUCUCAGCAAGAGGAAUCAUACCGCCUCUCCCACAAGAAGAUACAGAUGAUGAUGUUGCGGAUAUCACACCAACUGAAGUUGAAGUGGUGGAGAUAUCAGAUGAAGAAGAAGAAGAUAUGGUGGAGUUGAGCUUUGAAGAAUACAGGGAGAAACAUGGGGUACUUGAUUAGGGUGGAGGAAUCGGUUGAGGACAUCGAACCUGAGUUCAGAAGGAUGCUGAAAAGGAUGGAACAGGAAGAGAAGAAGCUGAGAGAGGAGAAGUUCAAGGUACUGAACUCGGGAAUCAAGCUAGAAGUAGGUCAAUCUUCUAAGGGUGAUGGUAAGAAGAGGAAGAGAAGAAGCUGAGAGAGGAAGGUCACGGACAGGCUCCUGUAUGUUGUAUUUUGGUUCUUGCAGGUCACAGACUCAUGUAUGCUGUGUAGUCAUGAGGAUUGUAUGUCAUGCAUUUUGUAUGUUUGUGUAGUCACUAGUCACGACACUCUUGGAUUAUUUUGUAGUCAUGCAUUUUGUAUGUUUGUGUAGUCACGAGAGUUGGUAGUCUUGUAUUAUUGGUAUGGUAGUCUUGUACUUUUGGUUCUCUUGUUCUAUAAAUUAAGAACUAAUUCUCAUUCUACAACACAACUCUUCUUCUCUCAUUCAAGAAACACAACUCGUAUUCUUUCAUUCAAGAAAUACAACUCUGCUUCUCUCAUUCAAGAAACACAAACCCUUCUUCUCUCCUUUUUUAUAUUCUCAGUUUGAAUCCGUGACAUUUUUCAAAUUAUGCUUGUUCUCCCUUUCGCUAUUCUCAUUUCAAACAAUUCUUGUUCCAAACGUUUAACAAAAAAAAAGAAAAUUCUCUUUCCAUAUGGCAUCUUCUUCACAAAAUCCUUUCGAGGGAUUGGAUGAUGAAAAAUUGGACAAAAAAUUUGAUCAAUAUUUUGAUCAACAUUUCGAUCAAAAUUUUGAUCAACAUUUUGAGCAAAGUUUUGAGAAUUUUACCAUUAAUUAUGGUAAUCAAGAAGAAGAAAAGAAAAAAAGAAAAAAAACGAGCUUACAUCGAAAAAAAUCGUGAAGAAGGCGAUAUACGUUUAUGGAAUGAUUAUUUCAGUGAAAUUCCAACAUAUCCUGAUAAUCUAUUCCGACGACGUUUUAGGAUGAACAAGCCAUUGUUCAUGCAUAUUGUUGAUCGACUCUCCAAUGAAGUUGAAUUCUUUCGACAAAAGAAAGAUGCUCUCGGAAGGCUUAGUCUCUCUCCUCUUCAAAAGUGUACCGCUGCCAUUCGUUGUUUGGCAUAUGGUACUGCUGCUGAUACGGUUGACGAAUACCUCAGACUCGGUUCAUCUACAACUCGGUCAUGUUUGGAAAAUUUUGUGGAUGGAAUAAUAUAUUUAUUCGGCGAUCAGUACCUAAGAAGACCAACACCGGCUCUUCAACAUCUACUUCAUAUUGGUGAGCAUCGUGGAUUUCCCGGGAUGAUAGGAAGAAUCGAUUGUAUGCACUGGGAGUGGAAGAAUUUUCCCACCGCUUGGAAAGGUCAAUAUUCACGGGGUUCGGGAAAACCCACAAUCGUUUUAGAGGCGGUUGCAUCGUAUGAUCUAUGGAUAUGACAUGCAUUUUUUGGACCUCCAGGUACCUUAAAUGAUAUCAAUGUUCUUGAUCGCUCACCUGUUUUUGAUGACAUAAUAAAAGGUCAAGCUCCGCAAGUCACCUUCUCUGUCAAUGGAAGAGAGUAUCAUAUGGCUUACUAUCUCACCGAUGGUAUUUAUCCGAAAUGGGCAACUUUUAUCCAAUCAAUUUCAAUACCACAAGGGCCGAAAGCGGUUUUAUUUGCGCAACAUCAAGAAGCUGUCCGAAAAGAUGUCGAGCGUGCUUUUGGAGUCUUGCAAGCUCGCUUUGCCAUUGU